rnacentral:tRNA from 1 species
GCCCUUGUAGCACAGCGGUUAAGUGCUCAGCUGCUAACUGAAACGUUGGUGGUUCAAGCUCACCCAGGGGCU